UGGGGAAUAUUGCACAAUGGGCGCAAGCCUGAUGCAGCCAUGCCGCGUGUAUGAAGAAGGCCUUCGGGUUGUAAAGUACUUUCAGCGGGGAUGAAGGGAGUAAAGUUAAUACCUUUGCUCAUUGACGUUACCCGCAGAAGAAGCACCGGCUAACUCCGUGCCAGCAGCCGCGGUAAUACGGAGGGUGCAAGCGUUAAUCGGAAUUACUGGGCGUAAAGCGCACGCAGGCGGUUUGUUAAGUCAGAUGUGAAAUCCCCGGGCUCAACCUGGGAACUGCAUCUGAUACUGGCAAGCUUGAGUCUCGUAGAGGGGGGUAGAAUUCCAGGUGUAGCGGUGAAAUGCGUAGAGAUCUGGAGGAAUACCGGUGGCGAAGGCGGCCCCCUGGACGAAGACUGACGCUCAGGUGCGAAAGCGUGGGGAGCAAACAGG
rnacentral:rRNA from 1 species